rfam:Betaproteobacteria bacterium RIFCSPLOWO2_02_FTLL_62_17 rifcsplowo2_02_scaffold_6838, whole genome shotgun sequence.
CCGGGACAUACGCAGACUCCCGGCCAAGGCGGUGUCCAAUCGCCCAAGUCCUGC